GAUGAACGCUGGCGGCGUGCCUAAUACAUGCCAGUCGAGCGAACAGACGAGGAGCUUGCUCCUCUGACGUUAGCGGCGGACGGGUGAGUAACACGUGGAUAACCUACCUAUAAGACUGGGAUAACUUCGGGAAACCGGAGCUAAUACCGGAUAAUAUAUUGAACCGCAUGGUUCAAUAGUGAAAGACGGUUUUGCUGUCACUUAUAGAUGGAUCCGCGCCGCAUUAGCUAGUUGGUAAGGUAACGGCUUACCAAGGCAACGAUGCGUAGCCGACCUGAGAGGGUGAUCGGCCACACUGGAGCUGGGACACGGUCCAGACUCCUACGGGAGGCAGCAGUAGGGAAUCUUCCGCAAUGGGCGAAAGCCUGACGGAGCAACGCCGCGUGAGUGAUGAAGGUCUUCGGAUCGUAAAACUCUGUUAUUAGGGAAGAACAAAUGUGUAAGUAACUAUGCACGUCUUGACGGUACCUAAUCAGAAAGCCACGGCUAACUACGUG
rnacentral:rRNA from 1 species